rnacentral:rRNA from 1 species
GACGAACGCUGGCGGCGUGCUUAACACAUGCAAGUCGAACGGAAAGGCCCUGCUUUUGUGGGGUGCUCGAGUGGCGAACGGGUGAGUAACACGUGAGUAACCUGCCCUUGACUUUGGGAUAACUUCAGGAAACUGGGGCUAAUACCGGAUAGGAGCUCCUGCUGCAUGGUGGGGGUUGGAAAGUUUCGGCGGUUGGGGAUGGACUCGCGGCUUAUCAGCUUGUUGGUGGGGUAGUGGCUUACCAAGGCUUUGACGGGUAGCCGGCCUGAGAGGGUGACCGGCCACAUUGGGACUGAGAUACGGCCCAGACUCCUACGGGAGGCAGCAGUGGGAAAUAUUGCACAAUGGGCGGAAGCCUGAUGCAGCGACUCCGCGUGCGGGAUGACGGCCUUCGGGUUGUAAACCGCUUUCGCCUGUGACGAAGCGUGAGUGACGGUAAUGGGUAAAGAAGCAACGGCUAACUACGUG